rnacentral:rRNA from 1 species
CCUACGGGCGGCUGCAGUGGGGAAUAUUGGACAAUGGGCGAAAGCCUGAUCCAGCCAUGCCGCGUGUGUGAAGAAGGCCUUCGGGUUGUAAAGCACUUUCAGUGGGAAAGAAAGCCUUGGGGCUAAUACCCUCGAGGAAGGACAUCACCCACAGAAGAAGCACCGGCUAACUCCGUGCCAGCAGCCGCGGUAAUACGGAGGGUGCGAGCGUUAAUCGGAAUUACUGGGCGUAAAGCGCGCGUAGGCGGUCUGAUAAGCCGGUUGUGAAAGCCCCGGGCUCAACCUGGGAACGGCAUCCGGAACUGUCAGGCUAGAGUGCAGGAGAGGAAGGUAGAAUUCCCGGUGUAGCGGUGAAAUGCGUAGAGAUCGGGAGGAAUACCAGUGGCGAAGGCGGCCUUCUGGACUGACACUGACGCUGAGGUGCGAAAGCGUGGGUAGCAAACAGGAUUAGAUACCUAGUAGUC